rnacentral:rRNA from 1 species
GACGAACGCUGGCGGCGUGCUUAACACAUGCAAGUCGAGCGGUAAGGCCCUUUCGGGGGUACACGAGCGGCGAACGGGUGAGUAACACGUGGGUGACCUGCCCUCAGCUCUGGGAUAAGCCUGGGAAACCGGGUCUAAUACUGGAUAUGACUCCAUGACGCAUGUUGUGGGGUGGAAAGCCUUGUGCGGCUGAGGAUGGGCCCGCGGCCUAUCAGCUUGUUGGUGGGGUGANGGCCUACCAAGGCGACGACGGGUAGCCGGCCUGAGAGGGCGACCGGCCACACUGGGACUGAGACACGGCCCAGACUCCUACGGGAGGCAGCAGUGGGGAAUCUUGCGCAAUGGGCGAAAGCCUGACGCAGCGACGCCGCGUGAGGGAUGGACGGCCUCGG